AUCGUAUUUCAGGGACUCUAGAUUUCAAAAAUUUUCCGGGGGGGCAUGCCCCCGGACCCCCCUAGAAGUGUCUCGCGCCUUCACCGCUCGAAAAUCCACCCCACUUUUAAAAGGCUGGCGCCGCCACUGAUCCGAAUAUCCAGUGGGCAGGAAAGAACUCGUGCAAUGGAUCAAAGAGGUAAAGAAAAAGUCCGUGUUUGAACACAAAUUGAUGGUAUAUACGUGCCAACACUGUCCAGAAUUUUCGACAUAUCUUUUUCGUUCUUUUCAUUAGUAGCUAGGUUUACCUUUAAACGGAUGACAUUACUGAAGGUGUAGAGGAACAUCAAUUGCCCUAGUGCAUAUCAUCGCGUAGAAAUAGUGGUAUUUGUACUUCAUCUUCACUACGCUAGUCAUUAUUAAUCCAUCUCAAGUUUCAUUACUAACCCAUCUCAGUCCUUGGACUGGAUCAAAAUUAAUUCACCUCGCUUUAAGUAGUGAUUCAUUCGUAUGAGAAGUCAUUUCGAUCAAAUCCUACAAAUCGAACUGGUCUAAAUUUCAAGUCCUCACAUGUUGAUCAAAUUGCGCGGACCUGAAAUCGUGUCCAGUCUUCAUAGUUGGAUUUGAAAUGUUACAUAUAAUUGAGGAUACUAGUAUGUGGUAAGCAAGUCAAAUGCAACAAUAUGUAGAAUUUCGCCUGCCAUUUUAAGUUUCACUUGGCAGUUCAAAUUAUUUUCACCUCAGCCAUUUCUAGCCAUAUGGCCUGCUUUUGGCCGUUGGCAAGCUGCUAUUUCUAGACGAUAAUUACGAUAUGAUUUUUAAGUAUAUAGCCUAGCUUAAUACCGUCAUCAGUUAGAGCUAAUAUAUACUCUGAAAUUAUUCUAGUGAUAGAAAAGGUAAAAUAAAACCAUUUUUGCGACAUAAACUGUAACACAUAUAUUUUUGUUCCGUUUUAGGGUAAAAUAAAGAUAAAGGAACACAUCACAAAUGGCUUUGAAAAUCUUCCAAAGGCAUUGAUUGAAUUGUUUACCGAAAGCAACUUUGGAAAAGCCGUUGUAAUAGUUUCAAGUUCAUAGAUCUCGUUACCUUGAUAAUUAUUAUGCAUUGUUAUACUGAUAAUUACUGAUAAUCCAAUGAUAAUCUUAAAGUGAUCCCGACCGAUAAUAUUGAUGAUACUGAUAAAUGAUUUAUAGUUUUUUACAAUAUGUGAUUUAACAGACAAACAAUGAACAGAUACAAUAAUAG